rnacentral:rRNA from 1 species
CAAGUCGAGCGGCAGCGCGGGGCAACCUGGCGGCGAGCGGCGAACGGGUGAGUAAUGCAUCGGAACGUGUCCAUGUCGUGGGGGAUAGCCCGGCGAAAGCCGGAUUAAUACCGCAUACGCCCGAGAGGGGAAAGUGGGGGACCGCAAGGCCUCACGCGAUUGGUUCGGCCGAUGUCCGAUUAGCUAGUUGGCGGGGUAAAGGCCCACCAAGGCGAUGAUCGGUAGCUGGUCUGAGAGGAUGAUCAGCCACACUGGGACUGAGACACGGCCCAGACUCCUACGGGAGGCAGCAGUGGGGAAUUUUGGACAAUGGGGGCAACCCUGAUCCAGCCAUUCCGCGUGAGUGAAGAAGGCCUUCGGGUUGUAAAGCUCUUUUGUCCGGAACGAAACGGGCGACGUGAAUAUCGUCGUCUACUGACGGUACCGGAAGAAUAAGCACCGGCUAACUACGUGCCAGCAGCCGCGGUAAUACGUAGGGUGCGAGCGUUAAUCGGAAUUACUGGGCGUAAAGCGUGCGCAGGCGGUUUUGUAAGCCAGAUGUGAAAUCCCCGGGCUUAACCUGGGAAUGGCAUUUGGGACUGCAAGGCUGGAGUGCGGCAGAGGAGACUGGAAUUCCUGGUGUAGCAGUGAAAUGCGUAGAUAUCAGGAGGAACACCGAUGGCGAAGGCAGGUCUCUGGGCUGACACUGACGCUCAUGCACGAAAGCGUGGGGAGCAAACAGGAUUAGAUACCCUGGUAGUCCACGCCCUAAACGAUGUCGACUGGUUGUUGGGGGUUUGACACUCUCAGUAACGAAGCUAACGCGUGAAGUCGACCGCCUGGGGAGUAC